rnacentral:rRNA from 1 species
CUACGGAAGGCAGCAGUGGGGAAUUUUGGACAAUGGACGAAAGUCUGAUCCAGCCAUUCCGCGUGCAGGAUGAAGGCCCUCGGGUUGUAAACUGCUUUUGUACGGAACGAAAAGGUCUCUAUUAAUACUAGGGGCUCAUGACGGUACCGUAAGAAUAAGCACCGGCUAACUACGUGCCAGCAGCCGCGGUAAUACGUAGGGUGCAAGCGUUAAUCGGAAUUACUGGGCGUAAAGCGUGCGCAGGCGGUUAUAUAAGACAGAUGUGAAAUCCCCGGGCUCAACCUGGGAACUGCAUUUGUGACUGUAUAGCUAGAGUACGGUAGAGGGGGAUGGAAUUCCGCGUGUAGCAGUGAAAUGCGUAGAUAUGCGGAGGAACACCGAUGGCGAAGGCAAUCCCCUGGACCUGUACUGACGCUCAUGCACGAAAGCGUGGGGAGCAAACAGGAUUAGAUACCCUGGUAGC